rnacentral:rRNA from 1 species
GUCCUUUUGAUUGUAAUUUAAGGUCUGACCUGCCCACUGAUUUAAAUUGAAGGGCCGCGGUAUUUUGACCGUGCAAAGGUAGCAUAAUCAUUAGUCUUUUAAUUGGAGGCUGGAAUGAAGGGUUGGACGAGGCAUAAACUGUCUCAUUGUAAUUGGAGCUAGAAUUUAACUUUUGGGUGAAAAGGCUUAAAUGGGUUUAAAGGACGAGAAGACCCUAUAGAUCUUUAUAUUAAGGGCUUUAUUAAUAAUUUAGUUAGAUUAGUUUUAUUAGAGAAUUAAAUAUUUUGUUGGGGUGACAGGAAGAUAGAGUGAACUCUUUCUUACAAAGGACACUGAUUUGUGUAUCGAUGAU